CUGUCAUAUCACGUUGAGACAUCGGUUCCCGUACGAUCACGGAAGUUAAGCAACGUCGAGCCUAGUCAGUACCUAGAUUGGUGACAGCUUGCGAAUACCAGACGCUGUAAG